rnacentral:lncRNA from 1 species
GCUUGCCUGGGGGCAGGAUGGCUCUCCGAGCCCAGCUUGGCUGCCGGCCUCCUUCUCUGAGUAAGUGCUUUUCUCUCCCUUCACCUGGGACCCUCAAGAGGGUGGAGGAGAAGAGAGUCUGAGAGCAAAAGGAAAGCCUGACUGCCUUUGAUGCCCUUGGGGAAGAAGGGGAGGAAAGACGGUGGGUGAGGGGCUUCCUGCUGCAGCCUUCAGUGGGACACUUAGGGCUGGGGGUCACUGGAGAAGGAGGUGGCUUCCUGCCCCAUUGUUCAGGACUUCAUUGUUUCUCAGGAAUACUUAUUGUAUGUGAAUUUUCAAUAAUUAACUUGGAAAGCUGCACGUGUUCCCGUCAUUCAGCAAACACUGAGCACCUACUGGGUACAGAGGUGGCAGCAGAGCCCCUCAUCACGGAAAGGGGCCAGAAAACCCACUGGGCCAGGGUCUCCAAGUUAGCUUUUGACAUUAUCUCCGAAUGGGGUUAUACAUUAUGUCAGAUCCACUAACUAAUUUGAUGAAAGACCCUCAUUCUUUGUCCUUAAGCUUGUUUCUUAUUAACAAAGACUGCUAUGCCUGUGGAGCACUAUGCAUUAUUGUAUUUUAAUAAAUCCUGUAAUCAUCUUGUGAGCAGCCCAAUUAUGGUGUAAUUUUUUGAAUUAGAAGCAUUAAGGUAUUAAACAUGGAAAAACAUGCCUCAGUAUUUAUUUGUGAACUUGUUUUGUCGUUUCUUCAUUUUCAAAUAUACCAGGAGCCUGAAAAAAAAUCGAAGCGUCCUGGGCUCCCCUUGACCCCCGCGCGGAGCAGAGAUGAAGCGUCAUUCCAGCACGAGUUGGGGACACGGGGGACACACCGACAGCAGUCGUUGCAGGCCAAGUGCUGUAGUAUGUGUGUGCGGGGAGAUAGGACACGGACCCUCACAAUGACCUCGGGGCUGCUGUGACGAUUAAAUGAUGCACCUGGUUGGCUCAGUCGGCAAGGCAUGUGACUCUUGAUCUCGGGGUUGUGAGUUCAAGCCCCAUGUUUAGUGUAGAGAUUACUUAAAAAUAAAAUAUUUGAAAACCAAACCA